rnacentral:rRNA from 1 species
GACGAACGCUGGCGGCGUGCUUAACACAUGCAAGUCGAACGGAAAGGCCCUGCUUUUGUGGGGUGCUCGAGUGGCGAACGGGUGAGUAACACGUGAGUAACCUGCCCUUGACUUUGGGAUAACUUCAGGAAACUGGGGCGAAUACCGGAUAGGAGCUCCUGCUGCAUGGUGGUGGUUGGAAAGAUUCGGCGGUUGGGGAUGGACUCGCGGCUUAUCAGCUUGUUGGUGGGGUAGUGGCUUACCAAGGCUUUGACGGGUAGCCGGCCUGAGAGGGUGACCGGCCACAAUGGGACUGAGAUAGGGACCAGACGCCUACGGGAGGCAGCAGUGGGGAAUAUUGCACAAUGGGCGGAAGCCUGAUGCAGCAACGCCGCGUGCGGGAUGACGGCCUACGGGUUGUAAACCGCUUUCGCCUGUGACGAAGCGUGAGUGACGGUAAUGGGUAAAGAAGCACCGGCUAACUACGUG